GUCCAGUUGAUGAGUUCCAAACAGGACAAAAUGCGCGUCCUGGAU
rfam:Schistosoma margrebowiei strain Zambia genome assembly, scaffold: SMRZ_contig0001559